rnacentral:rRNA from 1 species
UACGAAGGGGGCUAGCGUUGCUCGGAAUCACUGGGCGGAAAGGGUGCGUAGGCGGGUCUUUAAGUCAGGGGUGAAAUCCUGGAGCUCAACUCCAGAACUGCCUUUGAUACUGAGGAUCUUGAGUUCGGGAGAGGUGAGUGGAACUGCGAGUGUAGAGGUGAAAUUCGUAGAUAUUCGCAAGAACACCAGUGGCGAAGGCGGCUCACUGGCCCGAUACUGACGCUGAGGCACGAAAGCGUGGGGAGCAAUCAGG